rnacentral:rRNA from 1 species
AACGUAGGAGACAAACGUUAUCCGGAGUUACUGGGCGUAAAGGGCGUGUAGGUGGUGCUGUAAGUCUGGCGUGAAAUUUUUCGGCUUAACCGGGAAAGGUCGUCGGAUACUGCAGGACUAGAGGACGGUAGAGGCGUGUGGAAUUCCGGGUGUAGUGGUGAAAUGCGUAGAGAUCCGGAGGAACACCAGUGGCGAAGGCGGGUCUCUGGGCCGAUACUGACGCUGAGGAGCGAAAGCAUGGGUAGCGAACAGG